rnacentral:misc_RNA from 1 species
AUUAGAGUUAAGGUUUCUUGUGGAUCUUUGAGGUUAAAGCAGAUUGAAAAUGGUGCUACACCAAAAUGUGGCAUUACCUUGUUUAACUGGUUUGAUUUAAAUUGAUUGAUUUAAGGAACGACAGACAUCGCGAUCGGCUUAGGAUGAGAAGAAUGAAAUGCUAUUGUGCCUAAAUCAAAGUUCAUAAUGUUAUACUCACCAUUUAGAUAUAAAGUUUUAAUCUGAGAAGUUCCAUCUUAUAGUAAGGUAGUAUAGUAGGUGGAGUUGCAAGUAUACCUUAGAAUAAUUUCAACUUGCAACCAAACUAUAAGAG